ensembl:lncRNA
ACAUACAUACAUGUUACAUACAUACAGGUUACAUACAUACAGGUUACAUACAUACAGGUUACAUACAUACAUGUUACAUACUUACAGGUUACAUACAUACAGGUUACAUACAGGUUACAUACAUACAGGUCACAUACAUACAGGUCACAUACAUACAGGUUACAUACAUACAGGUUACAUACAGGUUACAUACAUACAGGUUACAUACAUACAGGUUACAUACAGGUUACAUACAUACAGGUUACAUACAGGUUACAUACAUACAGGUUACAUACAGGUUACAUACAUACAGGUUACAUACAUACAGGUUACAUACAGGUUACAUACAGGUUACAUACAUACAGGUUACAUACAUACAGGUUACAUACAUACAGGUUACAUACAUACAUGUUACAUACAUACAUGUUACAUACAUACAGGUU